rnacentral:rRNA from 1 species
UAUCGGAUUGAUACUAAGCCAUGCGAGUCAUUGCAGUAAUGCAAGGCAGACGGCUCAGUAACGCGUAGUCAACCUACCCUAUGGACGGGAAUAACCUCGGGAAACUGAGUAUAAUGCCCGAUAGAACACUAUGCCUGGAAUGGUUUGUGUUCCAAAUGAAUGUCGCCGUAGGAUGGGACUGCGGCCUAUCAGUUUGUUGGUGAGGUAAUGGCCCACCAAGACUAUUACAGGUACGGGCUCUGAGAGGAGUAGCCCGGAGAUGGGUACUGAGACACGGACCCAGGCCCUAUGGGGCGCAGCAGGCGAGAAAACUUUGCAAUGUGCGAAAGCACGACAAGGUUAAUCCGAGUGGUUUGUGCUAAACGAACCUUUUGACAGUCCUAGAAACACUGUUGAAUAAGGGGUGGGCAAGUUCUGGUGUCAGCCGCCGCGGUAAAACCAGCACCUCAAGUGGUCAGGAUGAUUAUUGGGCCUAAAGCAUCCGUAGCCGGCUCUGUAAGUUUUCGGUUAAAUCUGUACGCUCAACGUACAGGCUGCCGGGAAUACUGCAGAGCUAGGGAGUGGGAGAGGUAGACGGUACUCGGUAGGAAGGGGUAAAAUCCUUUGAUCUAUUGAUGACCACCUGUGGCGAAGGCGGUCUACCAGAACACGUCCGACGGUGAGGGAUGAAAGCUGGGGGAGCAAACCGGAUUAGAUACCCGGGUAGUCCCAGCUGUAAACUAUGCAAACUCAGUGAUGCAUUGGCUUGUGGCCAAUGCAGUGCUGCAGGGAAGCCGUUAAGUUUGCCGCCUGGGAAGUACGUACGCAAGUAUGAAACUUAAAGGAAUUGGCGGGGGAGCACCACAAGGGGUGAAGCCUGCGGUUCAAUUGGAGUC